rnacentral:lncRNA from 1 species
GGGAAUUAUACCACUCACUAGAAAUGACCACAUCUCUUACUUUACAGAGAGUGUCUGAGAUUUUAACUGGAAACAUUGCCAUCAGCACUGGGACUUCAGACACCACAGCUGGUGCAGGUGAACCACUUUGGUCUCUCUUUGGAGACCUCGGACCCAAUCUCAGCCUGUAUCACCAGGUAGAAAAAACUCCACACUGAGGACUCCAACUUGUUUGUUUUCACUUUCUUGAACUUCCUGCUUGACCAGUUGGUUGGCAUGUGACCCUACUUU